UUCUGUUGGCGGGAAACUGCACUUUGUUAACACUGUUUUGUCUAUUUGGAACCUUGUUGAAUAUUGUAUAUCUGAAGAGCCUUUUGCACAAGCAUAUGUCUGCGUUGGAAUUUUUUUAUGGAAACUGGGACCAUAUCUGGAAUUACCCGGACGACCUACGCCUGGCCUUCCUUGUUCCUACCACACAGCAACGAAUCGACGAUUUAGCUUUAACAUUGUGUGGAAAUAAGAUUAAUUAUUCAACUGCUGUAAUUGUAUUGGAGGAAUUGUGGUACUACAAGCCUAAUUUGCAGCAACUUAUUGACAGUUUUCGAGAUGCGUAUAGGGAGUUUGUAUUUAUGCCUAAUGGUGUGAGGUGUGCACAUCGCUACUACGAUUUUAGGCAGGGUAGAUACAGACCAUUGUGGUAUACUUACUAGAACCUCAAUAAAACUCCACAUAGUCCUUCUCAGACACACAGCCGUAGGCCAUCCUAUAAAAUGGCCUCACGUCCAGUGAGGUCUCCAAGCCAGGGUAGCAAAAAAUAUAGGCUUGUUCGCAAGUUGUCUAAGGAGAAAGAAUUAUGGCAAUGUAGCUGUCAGUACGAAUUUUAUUUGCAUUUUAGGUGGCAGGCUUUCUAAAGGGGCCCCCAGUGGGGGUUCACUCGCAGCGGAUGGUCCUGGAACUCUGAGUAGGUGCGCUGGCAGGCGCGACAACGGCACCUCCCAUCCGUCGUCAAAUUGGUGUUGUGUAGAUUCUUCCCCAGACCCAUUGUGCGCUGUAUCAGAAUUUGAGUUAUGUUCGACGGUUUCGGCUUGUUGAUUACCACUGGUAGCAUCUUCAUACACGCAUCUUCUGUAUCCCAGAGCGGAACGCAGGUGGUACGCCAUUCUGAAAUAUCGAGCACAUAAUACAAACGUGCCAAAGCCUGCCACCUAAAAUGCAAACAAAAGUCGUACUGACAGCUACCUAUACUUUGUUCUACCCUGACUGGGAGACCUCACUGAACGUGAGGCCAAAAAGGACCAUCCGUUGCGGGUGACCACCUACUGGGGGCCCCAUUAGAAAGCGAAUCGGACCCACCUAGUAUUACUUGUGGGCCGAUUCCGCGUUUUCGCGAUGAUGUAACCUCUUCAAGGCCGCGCGCAGGCCAGGACGUGCCUGACCGGCUGGGACAUGUUCCAGACAUUGUUUAUCUGCCGUUUAGUCUUAGACCAGAACGAUCAUCUGGAGUUCCAUGGCGUAAAUAUAGCAGGAGAAAUCGUUUCAAGUUCGUAACCUAUUCAAAGCCUGAGAGUAGUGCAGAUAUAAAUAAGGUCAAGUCGUGGACCGAUUUGGAAAUACAAUGUAAAGCAAAAAAUAAAUUGUUUCAAGGUAUUAAUCCGUUUUAUAUUGGUCUUGAAAUUGCUGGAGAUGAACCUGCCAAAAAUGAUGUUGUUCAAAGUGAGGUGAAAUAUGUUACAUUUGUUGUAAGGAAUAGAGUGUACAUGACAUUUUGCAAAAGAAAAGGUAUCGUUACGUUCUAAAUAAAGAUUAUUGUUUACAGCCAAUGUCUGCGUUGGAAUUUUUUUAUGGCAACUGGGACCACAUAACAAACUACCCGGACGACCUGCGCCUCGCCUUCCUUGUUCCUACCAGUCAGCAACGCAUCGAUGAAUUAGCAAUUACAUUUUAUGGAAACAAGAUUAAUUAUUCUGCUGUUGUAAUUGUUUUAGAGGAGUUAUGGUAUUAUAAACCAAAUUGGCAGCAAUUUAUUGGUCAAUUUAGGGAAGCAUAUAGGGAGUUUGUAUUUAUGCCGAAUGGAAUAAGGUGUGUGCAUCGUUACUACGAUUUUAGACAAGGGCGAUAUAGGCCGAGGAGAAGGUUGUAUGCAUUUCGUCGGACAAGGAUGAUGACCCGGGCUCGCCGUGCACGCCCGAGGCGGUGGAUACGCCGACGGAACAUUCUGACUAGCCAAUAUUUCGGCAGGAUGUGUACAUGGCGUACGGAGUAUACACAGUCCGACGGUUUACGAUUUGAAUAUGGGAAAAUGGGGGCAACAGAGAAAUAUGACGAGAAUGCGCAGAACUUCAGUACACUAAAGCAUUAUGACAUUUAGGACGAGUUUAACUUUUUUGCAAAUAAAUAUGCAUCUGUAAUUAUUAACAAAAUUGUAACAUAUGUUUAUAGGAUUAAUGUAAGAGUAGAAAGACUAACACUUGAUGACAGAGCUAAUAAAAAGAUAUUUGAAGACCAAGGUGCACUGGAGAAAGUAAGACUAGCUUGUAGUAAUAAGUUAGGUCCAUUUAGUUUAAGACCGGAACGUUCUUCAGGCGUUCCUUGGCGAAAGUACAGUAGAAGGAAUCGUUUUAAAUUUGUUACGUAUUCAAAGCCAGAGACCAGUGCUGAUAUAAGUAAAGUAAAAUCGUGGACUGAUUUGGAGAAUCAAUGCAAGUGUAAGAACAAACUCUUUCAAGGUGUCAAUCCAUUUUAUAUUCGUUUAGAAAUAGCUGGAUACGAGCCAGCGAAAAAUGACGUUGUACAAAGUGAAGUAAAAUAUGUAACAUUUGUAGUUAGGAACAGAGUGUAUAUGACUUUCUGUAAACGUAAAGGUACCGUUACAUUCUAAAUAAAAAUUGUUGUUUACAGCAUAUGUCUGCAUUGGAAUUUUUUUAUGGAAACUGGGACCAUAUCCGGAAUUACCCGGACGACAUACGCCUGGCCUUCCUUGUUCCUACUACACAGCAACGAAUCGACGAUUUAGCUUUAACAUUUUAUGGAAAUAAGAUUAAUUAUUUAGCUGCUGUAAUUGUAUUGGAGGAAUUGUGGUACUACAAGCCUAAUUUGCAGCAACUUAUUGACAGUUUUCGAGAUGCGUAUAGGGAGUUUGUAUUUAUGCCUAAUGGUGUGAGGUGUGCACAUCGCUACUACGAUUUUAGGCAGGGUAGAUACAGACCAUUGU